GGUCUUUUUGGCCUAGUGGAUAAGGCUCCGGGCCCGGAGAGUCCCAUUCCAUGACAAUUUGACUGGCGCCAUGCGGUCACCGGAGGUUGCAGGUUCGAAUCCGGGGGUGAUUG